AGUGAACGCUGGCGGCAGGCCUAACACAUGCAAGUCGAGCGGCAGCGGGUCCUUCGGGAUGCCGGCGAGCGGCGGACGGGUGAGGAAUGCGUCGGAAUCUGCCUUUUUGUGGGGGAUAACGUAGGGAAACUUACGCUAAUACCGCAUACGACCUACGGGUGAAAGUGGGUGACCGCAAGGCCUCACGCAGAAAGAUGAGCCGACGUCGGAUUAGCUAGUUGGCGGGGUAAAGGCCCACCAAGGCGACGAUCCGUAGCUGGUCUGAGAGGAUGAUCAGCCACACUGGAACUGAGACACGGUCCAGACUCCUACGGGAGGCAGCAGUGGGGAAUAUUGGACAAUGGGCGCAAGCCUGAUCCAGCCAUGCCGCGUGUGUGAAGAAGGCCUUCGGGUUGUAAAGCACUGUUGUCCGGAAAGAAAUCCUGUCGGCUAAUACCCGGCGGGGAUGACGGUACCGGAAGAAUAAGCACCGGCUAACUUCGUG
rnacentral:rRNA from 1 species